rnacentral:ncRNA from 1 species
AGAAUGACAUUAGAAGUCAGUUUUGAGACUAUCUUUUUCAAGAGAGCUUGUGGGUGGUGAAAACAAGUAAAGAUUCUUUAAACAUUCUGCUUCUUGUUUGAUUUUAUCCUAUGAAAAUAGGAACGUGUUUCUCGCGAUAAGGGAACUAAAGUCCUAUCCUUAUGAUAGGAAAUUUAGGUGGAACCGUGCUUAUAGCGCCCUAAUU